UGUCCAUGUUGAAAAUGAAGAUAAAGGUGGGUGGAGUCUAAUCUGAUUCUGGCUCCGAGGCAGUCCGUUAUUAAGGAGAUAAAAUAAUACACGGAGUUUUACCUUCUUCAUUUAUAGAUUUAAACCGUCCUCAGCUUCAGGUGCGUCGUUUUCUAACCUUUGAGGAUGAAUCCAGUUUGGUUUAUCCUGUCGAUCAUACUCCUGCCACUGACAACUGUUCAAGCUGUCACCUACAAGAAACCAGGAGACACAGUUGUCCUUAGUCCAGGCUCUGUGGGUGCUACCAUCACCAGUAUAACAUGGAAAUAUGAUUCAAACCUGGCUGCAGAGUGGUACGGAGGAGACGCCAUUGACUUCUACCGAGACUUCAAAGGUCGCUGUCAACUCAAUACUGGAACUGGAGAGUUGAUCAUCCCAAAGCUGACACUAAAGGACAGUGGCAGCUACACACCAGAGAUCAACAACAGAGUCUUGGCUACAACUGAAAUCAAGAUUAUCUAUGACGUCCCUAAACCAACUAUCUCCAUGAGCUGUGACGAUAAAAAGACCCACUGUGUUCUCACCUGUAAAGGCAACACUACAGACUCUGGACCAGUCACCUACACCUGGUGGUCAGGUGAUGUGGUGAAGAGUAAAACCAAGGAGUUUAAAAUAACAAAGAAGAAUAAGGAGGCUUCAUUUGUCUGUACGGUGAAAAAUCCAGUCAACUCUGAAAGCAGCAAAGCAGUCGCCAACCCUUUAACCACCAACGAUGAAAAAGAAAAAGUCGACAACGCUUCCCCCACCGACGACACUCUGUUCUGGAUACGCGCAAUACUGGUGGCUUUGUUUCUGGUGGUGGGAGUUGGUGUUAUCGUCUUUUACACACACAAAGGAAACAAAGAUGUGACUUUUUUUUGACAGCAGCAGCAUGAUCAUUGGCUGUUACUUCUAUGUGCGCCUCAGUUCAAGAUGUCAGAUGGAGCUGAGAAGUUAACAAGUGUUGACCUUAAAGAAUCUCAGCAUGAGAUGAUCUGAGAGACCACAGAGACCAGAUCUGGAUUCAACAAACCUCAACUCUACACGGCUCAAACGUCCUGAUUAAUGUCAAGAAAAUGAACCUCAAGCUCAAAACAAAAUGGAAAAGUCCAGUUGUCUUUAAGCACUGAUUAUUUUAGAAGCUCUCACAGGCUAAGGCACACAUUAUAUUUCCAAAAUAAUCCAAGGAUUAUCAAAAACCCCUUUACAGAAAGAAUAUUCACUCUGGAGAGCCUUUAGACUGAUCUGAAUCUAAAAUCCCACCAAUCCGCAAGUGUUAACAGUUCUACUUUCCAUCUCACAUGACCACUACACCCGACUAUAAUCAUCUUAUCCAUCGUUGAAAGAAAAACUAUUAUACGCCACAUCAUGUGUGUACAUGCGUGUGUAAAUUUUGUGAUUUAUUUUACUGCAGCUAUUUAACAGGAUUCUUACAAUACUAAUAAGCGUUUCUCACUUAAUGUAGUUUCUGAUCAAUGCAAUAAAACUGAGCAGUGUCUGUUCUUAAAGGAGUGAAGAUGGAGAAUAAAAAGAAGUGGAGCUAAGGCAGAUACAAUGCUAAUACAUCAAGGAGACAUUGAUGUUUCCUACUUUAUGUAUUGUUUGUAUGUAUAUUUAAAAGUAUUAUUAAUUAUGUUUGGACUUCGGUGCCAGUUUGAUUGUUAGCCUCGCUGAAAGGCUAAUUAGAUAGUUAGCUUCAGCUACAAGACUAGCCGUGCUGGGCACUGACACUAGCAAUAUGGUGCGUUGUAGUUAUGCUUUUUGCUAUCAUGUUUUUGUAAAAGGUCUUUUAUUUAUAUAUAUAUAUAUGUAGUAAAUGUUCAAACUCAAAUGAAGCUCCAUUUGUACACUGUGUAUCCUAAAUUGCUACAUUGUUAGCAUUAACGGACAAAAAUGUGUUCUUCAAAAACGCCCUAAAAAUAGCAUAUGUAUUAGCAUAUAGCAUAUUUUUCUUCUUUUUACUUUACAAAAUCUUUAAAUCCACUUCAGUCCUAAUCACAAAUACUAAAAGUCUGAUUAUUUUCUGAAUUUAACCCUUUUUAUGCCAGUGUUUGCGAUGGAAUCAAAAUGUCAAUUUUUUUUUUUUUUACCCAGAUGAAUUUGUGUAUCAAACCCAAAAAUUGAAAUAUUUGCAGUAAUCUAAAUGCAAAGUGGAUUUUUCUAGGGGGGAUUAUUGGGGCCUUGGACAUGUCAAUGAUUAGUAGCAACAUUGAUUUUGAUGGAUUUUUAUUUAAUCAUUUAUUUAUUUCUUUUGUGCCACCCGAUUUAAAAACCCAUUGACUUCCAUUGAAACUGCUGCUGCACUUUUUCUUUUCUCACAUUUGGACUCGUUCUCUACGACUUUCAAGUAACACAAUAAAAGAUUUAGUUGAAAAACCCUCAAAUACGCACUCACACAGACACACAAAGCCCUGUCCAUAGGCCAUGUUGACUUUACUGUUUUAUUUGUUUGUUUUGUUUGUUUUCCUGAACUUUAUUCAGAGACUUCUUGUAGAUAAACGUCCUGUGUUGGUCGGUGUUUGGUCUGUUUGUGAGUGUUUUUCAGUUCAAGUUUCAGUUGUAGAAGUUGAAGAUGAAGUAAGAUAAAAAAUAAACCGUGUCCUGUCGUGGGUCAGUUUUA